rnacentral:rRNA from 1 species
UUUGCCUACGGGGCGCAGCAGUCGGGAAUAUUGCGCAAUGGAGGAAACUCUGACGCAGUGACGCCGCGUAUAGGAAGAAGGUUUUCGGAUUGUAAACUAUUGUCGUUAGGGAAGAUAAAAGACUGUACCUAAGGAGGAAGCCCCGGCUAACUAUGUGCCAGCAGCCGCGGUAAUACAUAGGGGGCAAGCGUUAUCCGGAUUUAUUGGGUGUAAAGGGUGCGUAGACGGGAAAUUAAGUUAGUUGUGAAAUCCCUCGGCUCAACUGAGGAACUGCAACUAAAACUGAUUUUCUUGAGUGCAGGAGA